GCCCUCGUAGCGCAACCGGAUAGCGCGUUGGACUUCUAAUCCAAAGGUUGUGGGUUCGAGUCCCGCCGGGGGUA